rnacentral:rRNA from 1 species
CAGUAGCCGCGGUAAGACAGAGGAUGCAAGCGUUAAUCGGAAUUACUGGGCGUAAAGCGCACGCAGGCGGUCUGUCAAGUCAGAUGUGAAAUCCCCGGGCUUAACCUGGGAACUGCAUUUGAAACUGGCAGGCUAGAGUCUUGUAGAGGGGGGUAGAAUUCCAGGUGUAGCGGUGAAAUGCGUAGAGAUCUGGAGGAAUACCGGUGGCGAAGGCGGCCCCCUGGACAAAGACUGACGCUCAGGUGCGAAAGCGUGGGGAGCAAACAGGAUUAGAGACCCGUGUAGUCCCUGUCUCUUAUAA